GGUUUUGAGAUUGAAAUUCUUCAGGGAUAAAGGGUUUUGAGCUUGGAAUUCUUUAGGGGUGAAGGGUUUUGAGCUUGGAAUUCUUCAGGGGUAAAGGGUUUUGAGCUUGGAAUUCUUCAGGGGUAAAAGGUUUUGAGCUUGGAAUUCUUCAGGGGUAAAGUGUUUUGAGUUUGGAAUUCUUCUGGGGUAAAUGGUUUUGAGCUUGGAAUUCUUCAGGGGUAAAGGGUUUUGAGCUUGGAAUUCUUCAGGGGUAAAGAGGUUUGAGAUUGAAAUUUUUCAGAGCUUGGAAUUCUUCAGGGGUGAAGGGUUUUGAGCUUGGAAUUCUUCUGGGGUAAAAGGUUUUGAGCUUGAAAUUCUUCAGGGGUAAAGGGUUUUGAGCUUGGAAUUCUUUAGGGGUAAAGGGUUUUGAGCUUGGAAUUCUUCAGGGGUAAAGGGUUUUGAGCUUGGAAUUCUUCAGGGGUAAAAGGUUUUGAGCUUGGAAUUCUUCAGGGGUAAAGUGUUUUGAGUUUGUAAUUCUUCUGGGGUAAAUGGUUUUGAGCUUGGAAUUCUUCAGGGGUAGAAGGUUUUGAGAUUGAAAUUCUUCAGGGGUAAAGGGUUUUGAGCUUGGAAUUCUUUAGGGGUGAAGGGUUUUGAGCUUGGAAUUCUUCAGGGGUAAAAGGUUUUGGGCUUGGAAUUCUUCAGGGGUAAAGGGUUUUGAGCUUGGAAUUUUGGAAUUCUUCAGGGGUAAAAGGUUUUGAGCUUGAAAUUCUUCAGGGGUAAAGGGUUUUGAGCUUGGAAUUCUUUAGGGGUGAAGGGUUUUGAGCUUGGAAUUCUUCAGGGGUAAAAGGUUUUGAGCUUGGAAUUCUUCAGGGGUAAAGGGUUUUGAGCUUGGAAUUCUUCAGGGGUGAAGAGGUUUGAGAUUGAAAUUUUUCAGAGCUUGGAAUUCUUCAGGGGUGAAGGGUUUUGAGCUUGGAAUUCUUCAGGGGUAAAAGGUUUUGAGCUUGGAAUUCUUCAGGGGUAAAGAGUUUUGAGCUUGGAAUUUUGGAAUUCUUCAGGGGUAAACAGUUUUGAGCUUGGAAUUCUUCAGGUGUAUGACAAUGAAAAACAUGUAUCCUCGACAAGGGAGGUACGGAUAUUAAAUGGAAUAGCCCAUUUUGAACAUACUAUAGAUGACUUUCUUUCUUUAUAGUAAUUAUAUAUAUAUAUAU
rnacentral:lncRNA from 1 species